UACGUAGGGGACAAGCGUUGUCCGGAUUUACUGGGCGUAAAGGGCACGCAGGCGGUUUUUUAAGUCAGAUGUGAAAGGUACCGGCUCAACCGGUGACAUGCAUUUGAAACUGAAAGACUUGAGUAUUGGAGAGGCAAGUGGAAUUCCUAGUGUAGCGGUGAAAUGCGUAGAUAUUAGGAGGAACACCGGUGGCGAAGGCGGCUUGCUGGACAAAUACUGACGCUGAGGUGCGAAAGCGUGGGGAGCAAACAGG
rnacentral:rRNA from 4 species